rnacentral:rRNA from 1 species
GACGAACGCUGGCGGCGUGCUUAACACAUGCAAGUCGAGCGGAAAGGCCCUUCGGGGUACUCGAGCGGCGAACGGGUGAGUAACACGUGAGUAAUCUGCCCCGCGCUUUGGGAUAGCCACCCGAAAGGGUGAUUAAUACCGGAUACGACCAUCCUCGGCAUCGAGUGUUGGUGGAAAGUUUUUUCGGCGUGGGAUGUGCUCGCGGCCUAUCAGCUUGUUGGUGGGGUAAUGGCCUACCAAGGCUCGACGGGUAGCCGGCCUGAGAGGGUGACCGGCCACACUGGGACUGAGACACGGCCCAGACUCCUACGGGAGGCAGCAGUGGGGAAUAUUGGACAAUGGGCGGAAGCCUGAUCCAGCAACGCCGCGUGAGGGAUGACGG